GGGGCUGUAGCUCAGUUGGUAGAGCGCUUGCGUGGCACGCAAGAAGUCGUCGGUUCGAGUCCGAUCAGCUCCACCC
rnacentral:tRNA from 1 species